rnacentral:rRNA from 1 species
UACGUAGGGGGCAAGCGUUGCUCGGAAUCACUGGGCGUAAAGGGUGCGUAGGCGGGUCUUUUAAGUCAGGGGUGAAAUCCUGGAGCUCAACUCCAGAACUGCCUUUGAUACUGAAGAUCUUGAGUUCGGGAGAGGUGAGUGGAACUGCGAGUGUAGAGGUGAAAUUCGUAGAUAUUCGCAAGAACACCAGUGGCGAAGGCGGCUCACUGGCCCGAUACUGACGCUGAGGCACGAAAGCGUGGGGAGCAAACAGG